rnacentral:misc_RNA from 1 species
UUUCCGUAGGUGAACCUGCGGAAGGAUCAUUGUUGAAAGCUUGCACAGUGUCGGCUGACAUGUGAACUUGUCGGAACAUAUACAGGGGGUGCACCGGGAGCUGCUCCGUCUCUCACCACGACCAAUGGCUAUGUGGUCGAGAGUCCACGUGUGUACCCCCUUCUAACUCUCAAAUCGGCACGGGACGUGCCAAGGAAACUCAAUUUGAAAUUCUCUAUCCCAUGGCCCUCGCAUGAUGCGUGCGUGGGUCCGAGGAGGAGACAUGUGGAACAGUCGAUGAUAGAAUGACUCUCGGCAAUGGAUAUCUCGGCUCUCGUAUCGAUGAAGAACGCAGCAAAAUGCGAUACUUGGUGUGAAUUGCAGAAUCUCGUGAGUCAUUGAGUUUUUGAAUGCAAGUUGCGCCUGAAGCCAUUUUCUUGGUCGAGGGCACACCUGCCUGGGUGUUACUAUGGAGUUUUCCAGAGACCUUCUCCCCCACGAGACCCACAGCUUGGUUGAUUUUUGUUUAGGGUGGAGGGGGUGAGGGACCCCUCGGGUGUAAGUUGGCCUCCCAUUCCUUGUUGUGUGGUUGGUUAAAAUUUGGGGUCCUUGGUGGAUGCGUCGUUGAUGAGUUCUCGUAAGCGAUGUUUGUCUCGUGUUGGCAGGUGAGCUCCCCGGUCCCAUGGCUUCCUUGACACUACAACGGAGUUGCCAUUUCAACCCC